CUUGUUUACACCAAUGUUCUGCUGGCAGUUUGUAAAUCAUUCUCUCCAGCAGGCUCUGACACAGAUUUGAAGUUUGUUUCUGUUUUAUAGGAGUUGGGUUCAUCUCUAGCUAUGCUAGAGGGUUAGAAAAAUUAGAUGAAUGAGCCAGGGGAGACCUCUUCCCUGCACACUUCCGCAUCAUGAAUGAUCGUCACAAUUGACAGGGAUUGUGGAGACUGCAUUUAGCUCCAGGAGCUAGAAACAUAAAUUAAACAGACCCUGCCCUCAAGGGACUUCAAGUCUAAUAGGAGAGGUGGACAAAUGCCUAUCGUUUAUACUCAUGGAAAGCCAGGAAAAAAAGGAAGAAGAAGAAGAAGAGAAAGAAUUUGAUAUCUAACUGACAUAAUAAACUGCAUGCAUUUGAAGUAUGAAGUUUGAUAUGUUUUGAAAUACAUAUAUACCUGUGAAAUCAUAACGACAGUCAAGAGGGUGUAUAUAUUCGUCACUUUCAAAAGUCUUCUACUGCCUUUCCCUGAGUCCUCCAAAGCAACUAUAGGGAUCAAGACAGGAAGGGGAAUAGUGGUUCAAGAUAAAAGACCUGGAGUAUAUAGUGCUACCACUAAGGAACCUCUGUGCUGACCCAGCAGUACUCAGUGUGAGAACUUGUCUGCCCUCCUCAGCACAUCAGCCCUAAUGAUGCUGAAGUCCAUGAAAGAUAAUUGCCUUGAGUCAUUCUCUAGCCACAGAGAAGGUAAGAUUAAUAAAGAACAUUUGUUAUAAUUUUGCA
rnacentral:lncRNA from 1 species